UCCGGUUACCCCUCUACCAGCCGCCACACACCCUGCCGUUGUGGGCACUCUCUCUGGAACCAUAAGUCAAAGUAAACUCUUCGUGAAACUAUCUGCAGAGGAAGCCCUCAGCCACAGGGGAAGAACCAGUGUGGGUGGCUGUGUUGUUUUCCUACUUCUCAAAGAGGCUGGGAGGACGAGAACGGGGAUCCAGCUGAAGCCUCCUGCACCCUUCAAAGCCGUACCUGCUGUGUUCCACCUCUCCUAACAGGUCUUAGAAUGGACUUUAAAGUUCUACAGUACCUUUAUUUGUUAUGGAUGGAUUUGUUGCUGAUACUCAGUGGGCAGUACUCCCUGCCAGCCUUCCCGUUUGGCCGGGCGUGGCCCUGGGAGCAGAAACGAGGAAGAAGCUAUUGGUCUGGAGUGACUUUCAUGUGAUUCCAAUUAGUUCUGGCCCAUGGGCAAGGAUGCGGGGUUGUCUACGAGAUGACAAACUACCAGUGGCCAUACCAGAAAAAAAUGGACCCCUUUUUUUCUCCAGCAGCCAUGAACUGCCAAUCACUCCUCAGCUAGGGGCUGGGCCUCAUGAGGGCCUCUCCGGUGCAUCCUGGAAUCAAGGCUGGCUUGCUUGAUCACGUGUAGGUAACCAAAGAUCCUGUGAGUUCACGUCACACAUGGAAGACAGCAUUUCACAGCACUCUUCUCCCUCCCAGCUCUGACAUUCUUCCCAGCCACUCUCACGUAUGAUUCCUGAUACAGAUGCCUCAGUUGGAAGUGAGCACCCGACAGUCGCUUAUCCUCAGCCCUACAGUAGUAACCUGUUAAGGAUAGCCCAAAGGAACACUCACUGAGCAAUGCCCAAUGUCCAGUCCAGAGCACCAGGGACAAAGUAAAAACAACACUGGAAAGCCCAAGUGAAAGAAAGGCCCUGUGAAACAGCGCUCAAAGAGCCCUCUCCUCCAAGAAUGCUUCUCUCUGGAGGGCACUGACAUUAUGAAGGGUUGAUACCUAUAAACCAUAAGCACUUAAAAAGUAUGUUUAAAUUACCCCUGAGGUCAUUCUAAGAACAUUGAAAAGCUAAAGGCUAAACAGAGAGAUAAGUGCUAAGGAGAAGGCUCGGUAGGUAGAGGUGCCAGUCAUCCAGCCUGGUCAUCUGAGUUCAGUCUUCAGGACCCGAGUGGCAGAAGGAGAGAACUGACUGGCAUCAGCGGUCCUCCACACACAGGCUGUGACAGGUGUGUGACCCCCUGAAAAUAAACACAUAAAUGCAAUAAUAAUAGAAAAAGAAGCAAGGAGGGAUAACCUGGAAAACAAAACAAAACAAAACAAAACACUUUGACAAGAUCUUUAUCGAACAGCAAUCUCCAAGGUAAAUCAGUCAGUGUAUGUGGGAUGUUCCCUCAGUAAGGGAAUGCGCUGGAAUAGAAAUAAAAUUUUAAGCCCCCA